CUCCGCUUCCUUCUAGCAGAAAGAAAACAAGUCUGAACAGGUUGAUGGCCAAUAUCAGGGAGCAACAAACUUUAGCAGCUUGGAGUUGAACCAAGAAGCAACUGAUAAAGAUGAGAUUGAGAAAUGCAAAAACAUUCUUCCAGAAACAAAGGACGCUGAUAUCUUGCCAUUCUUUCCAAGAUUGAAGUGAAUGGAAAUCUGCAAGAGCAGCAUGAAGUACCUUUUUCAGUUUGUAAUGAACGACAGUUUUGUAGCUACGACAGGAGAGUGGAUAUCCACGGAGGCAAAGGCAACAAAGAGACUCCAGAUGACAAAUCACCCCCGUCCCUUCUUCUUGCAUCCACAUGUUUCUUGGCUUAACCUGCUUUCUGUAAGUGUUGCACAACAGCUGGGCCUCUCGGAGCCUUGGGCGCCAAGAAAUCCAACGCAUGGAAGUGAGCUUAAAAUAUGCUUUGUUGGUGGUGAUCACUAUUUCCGUCAUCUCGAUGAUGGCACUGAGGUUAGAAAAAGACUCGAAUUGCGUGGAAAGAAAGAAGGUGAUGCUGAAAAGCUACAGUGUCGGAGGUGCAUUUCCUCGUCAGCACGAUGCGACUAGAAUCAAGUAAGUCGACUGUUCUGCUGACUUUUUCUACAUGCUGAACUU